rnacentral:lncRNA from 1 species
UGGCGGACUCCGCACAGCUCCAUUAUCCCCCUCGGCAGGCCACGAUUACGGCCACGAACCUGCUCCACCUCCUGCGACGGAUACCAUGCGGUUCCCCUGACGAUGGAUGCUGCUCCACCCUUCAUAACAGAUUCCACGUGGCAAGUCGAGGUGAUACCCGCGUGUCCGCUCCACUAUCUUUCGCAAUCAAUUCUCCUGACCAUGGGCGGCCCACUACCAGGCAGUUACGCACGUCGCCAUCAGUCCGUUGCCUCCCCCACCUAUAAAAGGGGGGACUCAGAUACGUUAUUUUUUAAGCUCAUUUCUCUUAUCUCAUAACUCUUCUAAAUUCUCCGUUCGAGCACUCCAUUCUUGUUGAGGC